GAUGAAGAACGUAGCGAAAUGCGAUAAGUAAUGUGAAUUGCAGAAUUCAGUGAAUCAUCGAAUCUUUGAACGCACAUUGCGCCCCUUGGUAUUCCGGGGGGCAUGCCUGUUCGAGCGUCAUUAUAACCCCUCAAGCUCAGCUUGGUGUUGGGGCCUGCCAACUGGCAGCCCUUAAAAUCAGUGGCGGCGCCAUCUGGCUCUAAGCGUAGUAAUUUCUCUCGCUAUAGGGUCCCGGUGGAUGCUUGCCAACAACCCCCAAUUUUCUAUGGUUGACCUCGGAUCAGGUAGGGAUACCCGCUGAACUUAAGCAUAUCAAUAAGCGGAGGA
rnacentral:misc_RNA from 1 species